rnacentral:rRNA from 1 species
AAGGAAUAUUGGUCAAUGGACGCAAGUCUGAACCAGCCAUGCCGCGUGGAGGAUGAAGGUCCUCUGGAUUGUAAACUUCUUUUAUCUGGGACGAAAACGGGAUUUUUAUCUCAAUUGACGGUACCAGAGGAAUAAGCACCGGCUAACUCCGUGCCAGCAGCCGCGGUAAUACGGAGGGUGCGAGCAUUAUCCGGAUUUACUGGGUUUAAAGGGUGCGUAGGUGGGCUUAUAAGUCAGUGGUGAAAUCUCCGAGCUUAACUUGGAAACUGCCGUUGAUACUAUAGGUCUUGAAUUAUCUGGAGGUAAGCGGAAUAUGUCAUGUAGCGGUGAAAUGCUUAGAUAUGACAUAGAACACCAAUUGCGAAGGCAGCUUACUACAUAUAAAUUGACGCUGAGGCACGAAAGCGUGGGGAUCAAACA